rnacentral:rRNA from 1 species
AUGGAAAAUUACUGUCAAUGGCAUACCGAAAUAUCUUCCACUAGUAAAAAAGUGCAUGCAAUUGAAGAAAUUAAUACUUUGAAUGGAAAGAUGGAUGAAUUAAUGAAAUUGUUUGCUAGUAAGAGUGCUCCUAUUUAUCCUAAUGAUAUGCCUUUGUCUUCUUUUAUUGAGAAUAAAAACGAAUCUAUGGAUGUGAAUUUUGUUGGUAGGAACAAUUUUGGUAAUAAUGCGUAUAGAGGUAAUUUCGACCCUAGGCCGUUUCCUAGUAAUUCCUCUAAUAAUUAUGGUAAUUCCUACAACAACUCUUAUGGAAAUUAUAAUAAAAUACCUCUGAUCUUGAGAAUAAUAUUAAAGGUUUCAUAA